GUCAGUCAGCGCGGUAUUUCUGAGUUAUUUAUUUUGGUAGGAACCAAAGUUCUCUAAGGCGGAACCUUUGUUUUUGUAUCGCCCGUUUCCGUCAGGACAUACUUUAGCGUAACACUCAUCAAAAAAGUCCGCUGAUUUAGUACAUGUUUUUCAGUGCUGAUGCAUCUGCAAAAUAGCUCUUAGCAUCAAGAUAAACAAUCCUACAGAGUAAUGCCAAGCUACACAACUUUCCUCUUGCAAUGCAGCUACUAAGGUAUGUUUUGCUGACGUUUUUUGUGUGUGUUUUCUGUUCUUGUUUGUAUUAAAUUGUUUUUAUACAGCUAAGGGCUAACACCGUUAAGGGCUAACACAUGUUGGGCUUAGUUAGAUUGGUCUUUGUGUUUUGUUGUAUUAUAUGUAACCAAAGUGUAUUGUGUAUACAGUAGCCUAAUUGAAAGUGACGACAUUACCAGGACAAUGUUGGGAUAUUACUGUAUGGCUUGUUAUUAUUUUGACUAGUGAUUAUUGUAUUUGUGUAUUAUGUUUUUUGAUUACAGUUUUCACGGUCUGGAUGAACCAAAUAAAUCCUGCCAGUAAACAAAAAGGAAACUCGUUGCUGUCGUUUGUACUGAGGGAAUUAUAGUGAAAACUUAGCUGCUCACGAAGACAGCACCAAAGAGCAGUGAAUGACAACAGUAAGGCAAGUAAGAUGUCCCGAAAUGGCGAAGAGCACACAAUUGCAGAUGUACAUUUCCCAGACAUGGAGUCACACGCACCUGACAAGACGGAGUGUGUGCACGAGCACAGCUCAACCGUGCAGCCACAAGCGACUGAAGGCAUCAUAGUGGACAACCCCGCUUCCUCAGAAGAGCCACCAUUAGGCCAAAGAGUCCGCAGAAUGACGGAAAAGGGUCAAGAACAGCAUGAUGAGCAAGUAAUAAAGGUUGCACAUCGGUUCAGUGUGUGCUAUGAGAAGUGGAAGGAUGCCACUAAAGAAGCCAAGCAAGCGCUGAGUGGAAAGUGCUCAGACGACCUGCUAGAUGGACAAAUUACUAAAGUACGCAAUACCUCUAGGAGUCUAAAUGACGUUUAUGACGAUUGGAAACGCCUUGAGGUUCCUGACCUUAACACACGUCGCAAAAUCGACACCUGUGAAACAGUAACAAAGAAGAUGGUUAAGGAUGCAAUGGACCUUAUAGAUGCAAGGGAGGAAGCUACAGCCCAUAGGCAUACUACAAGUCAUAGACAUGAAGAACAUCGAGUCAUUGAAGAGGUAAUGUCUGUAGCCUCAGGAAGGACAGGCACUAGCUCUCGCCACACUAAGUGCUCCUCUGCAAGCAGGAAGAGUGCAGCUGCUGAGGUUGCUGCCAACAAAGCCACCUUAGAAGUACAGCUGGAGCAAGAGCAUUAUAUUAAAGAGCUUCAGAGACUGGAAGUUGAAGCCGCUCAGCUAAAAGCCAAACAAGAGGCUGAAAAUGCAGAGAGACAAAGAGUGCUAGAAGCCAAGCGCAGAGAACUAGAUCGAUUGGAGACUAUUAAGAAGCUAAAGGCUGCCGAGGCACGACAGCAAGUAUAUGACCAGAGUAUACAUUCAUGUCCGGCAACUAAGGGCGACGGCUCAGAUGAAGAAAUAAAUUAUCUUCUCCAUUGUGGCUCUGUGAAGAAAGAAGAGGAAGUCAAGCCUCAAACUAUAAAUGUUCUUCUCCAUCGUGUCUCUGUGAAGAAAGAAGAAGUCAAGCCUCAAACUAGCCCACUGCGGCACCAUUCUACACCACCAGCUGUAGCACAAGCAAGGCAAGAAAACAAAUAUGAAGAUGGCACAACAGCUCUCGUCAAAGCGCUCGCAGAAGCCAUCAGUGCGAGUCGCAUUCCUCUACCUGAACCUACAGUGUUCAGUGGUGACCCACUCCGAUUCAACGACUGGAAAGUGUCCUUUCAGACGCUCGUUGACAGGAAGAACAUACCAGCUGAAGAGAAGAUAUAUUAUCUACGCAAGUAUGUGGGUGGAUCUGCUAAAAGGGCCAUAGAGAGCUACUUUUUACUUGGCACAGAGCCAGCAUAUUAUGCAGCAUGGGACAUCCUAGAAGAGCGAUACGGCAAUCCAUUCCUCAUCGCCAAGGCCUUCAGAGAGAAGCUCGACGCGUGGCCCAAGAUAAGCUCCAAAGGCAGUAUGGAACUUCAAGAACUCGCCGACUUCCUGCGCUGCUGUGAGGCAGCCAUGUCUCAGAUCAGAGGUCUUGAAAUACUUAAUGAUUGCAACGAGAACCAGAAAAUUCUCUCUAAACUCCCAGACUGGGUGACUUCAAGGUGGAAUAGGAAAGUCAUAGAAGCAGAAGAAGACACUCACAUGUUCCCGAGCUUCAGCCAGUUUGUCAAGUUUCUCACACGUGAAGCUAAAAUCGCUUGCAGCCCAAUAACAUCUCUUCAUGCUCUUAAGCCAAGUGAAAGGAUUCCAGACAAGUGUGUAAAGAGCGGAGGUCCUGGAGCAAAGGUGUUAGCAACCACCUCAGAUGAGAAAGUCGUCGUCACAAGCUGUGUCUUCUGUGAGAAGGCAGGACACAGUCUACAAAGGUGUUACAAGUUUAUGCAAGGGACAAUCUUGGAGCGAAUCAAGUUUGUUCAAGAAAAUAAAUUGUGUUUUGGCUGUCUCAAAUUUGGCCACCGAUCUAGAGAUUGUAGAGAAAGAGACAGCUGCGACACCUGUGAGAGAAGACACCCAACUUGUCUUCAUGACGAUCGCACCAAGGAAGAAAGGAUGUCUACAAGAUCUGACAGAGCAAGGUACAGUGACAAAGACAAAGAAGAGUACAAAGAAAGGAAGAAUGAACAGUCACAAGACCAGUCAGAGAGACCAUCACGUGAGGCGACGGCACUUAGAGUCAUCCAGAAUGUUGGAGACACGCAUACCUCCACAAUAAUUCCAGUGUGGGUGUCAUCUACAAGUGUACCAAGUCGUGAAGUUCUGGUGUACGCACUCCUUGAUACACAAAGUGACACAACCUUUAUCCUCGACGAGACAGCGAAGGCUCUCAAUGCUAGGAGUGAACCAGUUCAGCUAAACCUCUCCACGUUGGCUUCAAGAAACACAAUCGUGUCCUGUCGGAAGCUAGCUGGUCUACAAGUUAGAGGUUUUUAUUCAGACAAGAUAAUCACUCUUCCAGUGACUUACUCAAGAGAGUUUAUCCCUGCAAACAGAGACCAUAUUCCCACACCAGAUACGGCGAAAGCAUGGCCUCAUCUUGAACACAUUGCAGAUGAGAUCGCUCCUCAGCAAAGCUGUGAUGUCGGCCUGUUAAUUGGCUACAACUGUGCCCAAGCCCUCGUUCCAAGACAAGUGGUGCCUGGUGAGGAACACCAGCCGUUUGCACAAAAGACAGACUUGGGCUGGAGUGUAGUGGGAUAUGGCAACCCGUGUCUCAACUAUGGAGAUGCAAUUGGAAUAAGUCACCAAGUCAUGGUGAAGCAAGUGAUGCCAGGUCUACCGUCCUCUUCAGACCUCACAAAGGAAGUGCACUAUGUCUGUAGGACACAGAUCAAAGAAGUUCUCUUACCUGCAGAUGUCAUCAAGAUGCUGGAGUCUGACUUCGUUGAAAGAGAGUCGGAAACCAGCCCCAUCUCUCAAGAAGAUCUAAGGUUCCUGUCAAAAAUGGAAAAGAGCAUCAAGUUAAAGAGCGACGGUCAUUACGAAAUGCCGCUGCCAUUCAAGAAAGAAAGACCUAACUUACCUGAUAAUAAGAUCUGUGCUAUCCAUCGUCUCAGGUGCCUAGAAAGAAGGCUGAGAAGAAACGACCAGUACUACAAAGACUACAAGACCUUCAUGGAUGAGACCAUAAGACGCGGAGAUGCAGAAAGGGUCCCGGAGGAAGACAUCCACAAAGCUCCUGCUUGGUACAUUCCGCAUCAUGGGGUGUAUCAUCCACAAAAGCCUGGGAAGAUACGUGUUGUCUUCGAUUGCUCCGCCAAGUACCAAGGAACGUCCUUGAACGACCACCUCCUGACGGGUCCUGAGUUGACAAACACCUUGGUGGGAGUUCUGUAUCGCUUCCGAAGAGGUCCUGUGGCAAUCAUGUGUGACAUCGAACGCAUGUUUCACCAGUUCCAUGUUAAGGCAGAAGACCAAGAUUACCUGCGGUUCCUUUGGUGGGACAAUGGAGAUCUCGAAAGCCAACCUUCCAUCUAUCGGAUGAAAGUCCACUUGUUUGGUGCAGCAUCGUCACCUGGCUGUGCCAACUAUGGGCUGAAGCAUGUCGCUGCUGAAGGACAAGGAAACUUUAGUGACGACACCAUAAAGUUCAUUCAACGGAACUUCUACGUGGAUGAUGGAUUGUCAAGUGUAGCAUCCGAAGACCAAGCGAUCCAACUGGUGAAAGAAGCAAGAGAACUUUGCAGCACAGGCAAACUCCGGCUGCAUAAGUUUAUCUCUAACAGCAAGAAGGUCCUAGACGCAAUCCCAAAAGAAGAAUGUGCUGCAGCUGCCAAAGACAAGGACAUGGCACUGGGUGAACUGCACAUGGAAAGAGCACUCGGUGUGCAGUGGUGCGUGGAUUCUGAUGAGUUCCAGUUCAGAGUAAUCGUCAAGGAGAAUCCACUUACUCGAAGAGGAGUCCUGUCCACAGUCGCUUCAGUCUACGACCCUCUUGGAUUUGUGGCACCGUUCAUCUUGUUGGGAAAGCAGAUCCUGCAGCAGAUGUGUCGUGACAAGCUCAGUUGGGAUGACACCUUACCUGAUGACCUACGACCACUGUGGGAAAGCUGGCUUCAAGACCUGCGAAAUCUAGCCGAGGUGAAGAUUCCAAGAUGCUACGUUCCAUCAAGCUUCAAGGUCCAACACUACGAACUCCACCAUUUCGCCGAUGCCAGUGAGUCAGGCUAUGGAGAGUGCUCGUACCUCAGAGCAGUGAGUACGUCAAGUGAAGUCCACUGUUCCUUUGUAAUGGGAAAGUCGAGAGUCGCUCCUACUAAGGUCACAACCAUACCAAGACUCGAGCUGUCAGCAGCAGUGGUAGCUGUCCGCACCAGUGACAUGCUCAAGAAAGAACUGGAAAUAGAAUGCCUACAAGAAGUCUUCUGGACUGAUUCAAGAGUGGUCCUUGGUUACAUCAAUAAUGAAGCCAGAAGAUUUCACGUGUUUGUGGCAAAUCGUGUGGAACGCAUCAAGCAAAGCACAGAGUCUACACAAUGGAAGUAUGUGGCUUCAGAAGAUAAUCCAGCAGACUACGCCUCAAGAGGUCUCACAGCAGAGCAACUGGUAUCCUCUAACUGGUUCACAGGCCCAGACUUUCUUUGGCAGAAGGAGUUACCAAGUGGAGAUGUCAAGGUGGGAGAGAUCACAUAUGACGAUCCUGAGCUUAAGAAGGUCCAGGUUCUCGACACCCAGGCGAAAGAAGUCAAGUCGCUGCUAGAUCGCCUACACAAGUUUUCAGACUGGUCCAAAAUGGUGAAAGCUAUCGCCAGACUCCAGCGCCAUGUGAAAGAAAUUAAAGGGCUUCAGCCAAAGUCCUGUGAAGCCUGCAGUUUGGAGGAAAGGAGAGAAGCGGAGUUGACAAUAAUCAAGAUGGUUCAAGAAGCAACCUUCUCACAAGAUAUACAGUUACUCCAAAGUGACAAGGAGACGCCAGUCAAGGGCAAAGCCAAUAAGUUGCACCGGUUAAGUCCAUUCCUGGAUGACCAAGGUGUCCUCAGAGUUGGAGGCCGCUUAACUCAUGCUGCCCUACAUCCACAGGUGAAGCAUCCAGCGGUCCUUCCAAAGGACAGUCAUGUGUCAAAUUUACUUGUCAAGCACUAUCAUGAAAGAGUGUACCAUCAAGGACGAGGAAUGACCAUGAAUGCGCUCCGAUCUAAUGGCAUAUGGAUACUGGGCUGCAGCAAGGCUGUAUCAUCCCAUAUCUACAAGUGCACUAAGUGCAGGAAGUUCAGAAGAUGCACUGAACAGCAGAAAAUGUCAGACCUUCCAGAGGACAGAAUGGAAACAGCUCCUCCAUUCACCUACUGCGGUAUGGACUGUUUUGGACCAUUUUACGUAAAGGAAGGAAGGAAAGAGCUAAAGCGUUAUGGAUUGUUACUUACCUGCAUGUGUUCCAGAGCGGUUCACGUUGAGAUGCUUGACGAUAUGACCACGGAUGCCUUCAUUAACGCAUUGCGUUCAUUCAUCGCCAUUCGUGGAAAGGUACGUCAGAUAAGAAGUGAUCAAGGAACAAACUUCGUCGGAGCAAGACGAGAGUUUGCUGAAGCAUUGAAAGAAAUGGAUCAGGAAGAGCUCAAGCAGCUUGGAUGUGAGUUCAUCAUGAACACCCCAGCUUCAAGUCAUAUGGGUGGCGUCUGGGAAAGACAAAUUCGCACCAUAAGAAGUGUCUUGACGUCCAUUCUAGAACAGUCAGCUACGCAGCUUGACUGCUCCUCUCUAAGAACGUUCCUGUAUGAAGUCAUGGCAAUAGUGAACAGUAGACCUCUGAGCACUGAUUGUCUAAAUGAUUCAUCCAGUCCAGAGCCCCUGACACCAAACCACAUUUUGACCAUGAAGUCCACGAUACUCGCUCCACCUCCUGGGAAGUUCGUCAAGGAAGAUCUAUACCUACGCAAGAGAUGGCGUCGAGUUCAAUUCUUAUCCAACCACUUUUGGACAAGAUGGAAGAAGGAGUACCUCCUGAGCCUCCAACGGAGACAGAAGUGGACCAAAGAUCGCAGGAAUGCAAAGGUCGGCGAUGUUGUACUCCUGCAAGAUGAUACUACACCACGUAACCAGUGGAGGAUGGCAAAGGUUAUCGAAGUGUACCCAGGAAAGGAUGGGAAGGUGCGAAGACUCAAGUUGCUCAUCAGCGACUCAACCCUUGAUGAGAAAGGAAAGCGUAUCUCCAAACCUGUCCACCUGGAAAGGCCCAUCCAUAAGACGGUGACGCUGAUGGAAGCAGACUGAAGACUCCGACCUCUCUCUUUCUUUUCCUCCCCUCUCUCUCUCUAUCUGUCUCACUACAGGUGCAGUCAUGGUGAUCGUUCUCUGGGGAAGCCAAGGACUGAAGUUUAGUUUUUUUUUGUUUAUCCUUUCUACGCAGUAUGUUGUCUCUCAAUAGUUGAAGAAAAUCAUAUACAUGUGAUAUGUUUUGGUGGGAGUGUAACUGCCUCUGUGUCAGUCAGCGCGGUAUUUCUGAGUUAUUUAUUUUGGUAGGAACCAAAGUUCUCUAAGGCGGAACCUUUGUUUUUGUAUCGCCCGUUUCCGUCAGGACAUACUUUAGCGUAACACUCAUCAAAAAAGUCCGCUUAUUUAGUACAUGUUUUUCAGUGCUGAUGCAUCUGCAAAAUAGCUCUUAGCAUCAAGAUAAACAAUCCUACAGAGUAAUGCCAAGCUACACAACUUUCCUCUUGCAAUGCAGCUACUAAGUUUUCACGGUCUGGAUGAACCAAAUAAAUCCUGCCAGUAAACAAAAAGGAAACUCGUUGCUGUCGUUUGUACUGAGGGAAUUAUAACUCCCAAACCAUCACACACCCACACUAUAACCACUACCAUUACACAUUCACCACAUUCCCCUCCUUCAUAUUAUCUAUCAUCCGCACACAUCACACACAAGCUACACCUAUUACACCUCUUACACAUUCAUUAUUCACAACACACCUAUUACACAUUCACCAGUUUUUACACAUGCAUUACACCCACUCCUUAUUUACUACACACACAAUCAACAGAUGCACAUUUAUUAUACAUCCAUUUCACACAUACAAUCACUAGGUGCCUCCUCUUACACGGUCAUCCUAAAACUAGUUACAUUCACCACACAUCUCACCCACACCUAGACCACACCUCACACACGGUACAAUAG